AGUCGAUGAGCCUGGAAUCGCGAAGACACACCGAGCUCUUUGCCCUACGUAUUCGAAAUUUAGUUAGAGGUUACGUGACACUGUCAGAAACGAAAUAAAUAAAAAUACAAAUAAAAUCUACUAUCCGAAACUAAUUACGGGCGUUAAAAACAAAAAUAUAUAAAAUAAAACCCGGUGAAAAUAGUUUGCUGAAGACAUUUAAUUUAAAGCUGAUAAUUUAAUUAACUUGACAUACAAUUGACAAAAAAUAAUAAUAAUAUACGUUGACAAGUAAGCUGUAAUAAAAAAAAAAGAUACAAAAUGUUUUCCGGCCUGACAAAUCAGGUGUCCAAUUGGAUGGGAAAGAAAGGUGAAGAUGGUACUGAAUUAACUGAAGAAAAACCUACAUCACCUACUGCUGAAGAUAGCAGCCCAACGAAAGGUAGUAAAAUGGAAAUGCUUGCUGGAGUUAAAUCACAGAUGUCUGGAUGGCUGAGUGGUGGUAUUCCUGGAUUAUCAGGUCGUGGUGCUGCUGAAACCACUGAAGGUUCUGGCGAAAUUCCACCUGCAUCUACUGAAGCUGUAGAUAAUCAAACACCGCGGGAGAUCGUACAGGGCUCAUCGCCCGAUCAUGUAAAAGAUGAUGACGCAAGCAGGUGGGUCUCAGGUGCUACUGGAGGUGCAGACAGUGGACCAGCUAGCCUUGAAGGUACACCAACUGAAGACAAAGAUGGUCAACAACCAUUUGGUGCUGUUUCAACGAAGGCCUUGGCCGGAGCUAAAAGUCUUGGUGGAUUUCUCUACAGUGCUGUUAACAAAGCUGGCAAAACGGUCGUUGAAGCAAGUGCUAAAAUCAAGAAAACUGUUGAGGAAAAUAGAAUGAUUGCAGAACUUAAUAAAGAGCAAGAUGCUUUCAUUGCUGGUAAAAAUAACGAAAAAGGUGAGGCUGUAGCUCCAUGGGUUGGAGCACCAAACGAAGAUGUGUUGCGUGAAGAAUGUCUAGCUCUUUCAACUGAUCGCCGUAACUUUGUAAGAGCUCCACCACCAGGUGUUGAAUUUGAUUGGGACUUUGAAGCUGUACAACCUAUGGCUCAAGCAACACUUGCUCUUGAUCCUAAUUUAGAAACCAUGAGGUUCGAAUUGGUACCUAAAGUAAUAAGUGAGGAGAACUUUUGGCGUAAUUACUUUUACCGAGUCUCACUACUUCGUCAAAGUCACGAAUUAAAUGCGAUGGCAAGUCAAGCAGAAAGCAAUCCUAAUCAAAGCCUGACAUCCACUGGCAGCAUCGAUCAACCUCAAGUAGAGAGCAAUAAAGAAGUUAUCAAAGAUACAACAGCAGCAUCAGGAUCAGUAACAUCCAAGGUAACAACAACAAUAACAGCAUCACCCAAUACGACAAGUGACGAGCUUAUUUCUGACAGUACUCGGACGCCUGAUAAAGAUAUACAGCAGGUCAAAGAGAGUAUUAAAAAGUUGGAAACAAAAGCGUCAAAAGCUUCAACGCUGCUUGUAACUCUCUCCGCAGAAGAAGAAUGGGAAGGUGAAUUGGAAGCUGAACUUAAGGAUUUCGAGAUCGUACCAGGUGAAAAUAAAAAGACUACAUCAUCAAAGACAGACAAAAAUCUUACAACAACAACAUCAUCAACAUUAGCUUCAGUAUCAGCAACAAUGGGAAAAGAAGACUGGGAACAACAAAUGGAUGAAUUACUCGAUGAAGACGAAGAUCUUAAAUGAAUAAAUCAGCAAUUAUUAUUUUAUCACUAUGUUAAAUUAAUUUUUUUUUAAUAGCCAGUCAUUUGCGUAAUCAAAGGUUUUAUUCGAAAAUAGCCAAUUGAUCGCGCAUUGAAUUGAAAAUAAUAAUAAUUAUCAAUGAAGGCACAGAAUUUUAAAAUGAAAGCUUCCCUUUUUUUAUAAAAAUAAAAAACAAAAAAAAAAUAUGAGCUAUGGUUAAAAUUAUAAUUAAGUAAUUAUUAAAAAUGUGUUAUACGUGAGUUGAUUAUUAUUUAUUUAUUAAUUAAUUAAUUAAUUAAAGUAAAGUAUAUUUAUUACAUAAAUUUUAAUUAAGUGCAGCAUUUUUUAUGAGAUUUGAGUAAAAAAAAAAUAAAAUAAAUAAAUAAUAAUUGUAAAGGGCCUAACGUCAAGAAAAAUAAAAUAAAAUAUGGUUAUUAAAAGAAAAAAAAUAUUGUUAGCAGGAAAAAAAAGCUUAUUAAGUUAGUAAUUUAAUUAACACGUACUGGAUAUUUGCAUUUUAUUGUUACAGUUUUGAAAUAAUAAUAAUAAUAAUAAAAGACAUAUUUAUCAUUAUUCCGAUUAAUUGAUAGUAUUUUUUUUACUUUUCUGAUUAACCAUGAUUGUUAAUUAUUUAUUGUUUAUUGUUUUUUGUAACGUGCUUAUUCAGAUACAGCAAUAGAUAUAUACAUAUAUAUUUCUGAAUGUUGUGAAGUGAAUUAUUAUUAAAAAAAGGUUACUAAGUAAAUAAUAAUAACAAACAUGACACAUGUUUUGCAGUCAUAUCUCAGUCCAGUGAGUUAAUGUUAGUAGUAUUUUAUUUGAAUUAAUUAUUAUCUUCAUUAUAAAUAUAAAUAUAAAUACUAAAUAAAUCAAUGAAAAAGAAUAAAAAACAUUUAAUCUUAAAAUGAUUAUAUACUUCGGUACUUAUGUAUGUACAUACACCGUACACAUACCUAUAUAAAUAUAUAAAUAUAUAUAUAUGAAAAUAUAUGUUGUUGAAUCCAUUGAAAGUAUGAUAAUAUAUCUGUAUAUGUAUAUGUAUAAAAAAAUACAUAUAUAUAUAUUAACUAAAAUACAAUUAUACAGCAGACUUUGAUGAGAAAAAAAUGGUUAUCGAAAUGAUAAGAAAAAUUCAUUAAAUGAGAAUUAAUUGAAUAAAUAAUUAUUGAUUAUUAUAAUAAUAUUAUUGCGA